rnacentral:lncRNA from 1 species
GAUGCCUGAUCUCAUCAAUCUAGCGGGAGAGACAGGAUAACCUGUCCGAGAGUAUAGCGCCACUAUGACUCCGCCGGAAAAAUUACUUUAAAAAUCGCCAAAAAUUACUUGGAGCAAAGGGCAGUCGGCGGAGCUUCGCCAAGGCUGGCGCAGUCGGUUUUGACCUGUAGCAGAGAACCAAUUCUGGAGAACAGCCUCACUUCUUUGAUUGAAUACUUACAUAAUGCAUUGGAACAUGACAUGAGAUUAAGGUUUAAUAAUGAUAGAAUGAAGACCACAAUAAAAGAGACCUCUACUUAGCUCAGCAAUUCUUACCUUUCUUACCUAUUUGAUGAAGAUGUCUUUUGAAAGGUGUACUGCAAGGAACAAAAUGUUUGUAAAUUCUCCUUUUACCAAGGUUUCUUUUUUAAUUGAUGCCAAAGAGUUCCAAUAUUGAACAUCUUAAGUCUGUUACUUGGAUUACGGAUUGAGUUUGGAGCUUACUCAGAGGACUACAGGAGAGUAUCCAGGAAGUAGCAAGAAAUGUGGAUAAUUACUGUACCUUCCUCAUGGAAAAAGUUUUAUUUAAAGUGUUAUUUCUCAUUGAAUACUAUCAAAAAGGAAAAAAAAAUGACCUAAACUUUUGAGAUAGAUUUGGCUCUAGUAAGUAUUUAGUUAUAUCACUUGCAUAUCUGGGAGAAGAAAUAAGAGACUAUCAUCAGUACAUUCCCAUCUACUAAAAAAAUUUAUUUUACACAUGUCAAGGGAUUACUUAUAACUUCCAUUUUAUUACGAAUUGCUUGAACCUGGGAGGUGGAGGUUGCAGUGGGCUAAGAUGGCACCACUGCACUCCAGCCUGGGUGAGAGAGCAAGACCCUGCCUCAGAAAAAAAAAAAAAAAAAAUCUAAGACCUGUAUAUCAAAUUUUGAGUUUGUUUCUUCUUUUGUACCUCAAUAGUUACAUUUAUCAAAAAGCUGAGCUGUUGUAAAAUUGUGGAAUUCACAUUGGAUAUUCAAAAACAUUUCUUACUAUUAAUGACAACCAAUAGUUAUGGAUAUUUCAUUUUAAACAUGGUUAUAAAAUGUAAACAUGACACUAAUAAGCUCAAUAAAUGUUUGGCCUGUCUAGUAUAAUAAA